CCUGUCUCAUGGCUGCCUGCCAUGCUGGGACAGAUGCAGCUUGAGAGUAAUACAAAGGUUCAUAUUCCAAAGUAGAAGGAGAAGAACCAGAAAAGGCAGGGAGUUGGCAGACAUAAUCCUUAAGAUAUGAAGGAGGAUUAUGCAGUCUAGUGGACUUUCUAGGAGCAGGACUGGAGUGUGAAGGAGGUAAAACAGGGGGAGAGACAU
rnacentral:lncRNA from 1 species